UAAGGACCUUGGCUUAACAGAAUUUAACAGAAAAACGAAAUUGUGGGGUUCGCACAAUUCAUAUCCAGCAACAGCAUGGUUUACAAAAAAUUCACGCUGAACCAAACGAGCUCAUUUUGUAAUUUGGCGUCCCCGGUAAUAUUAAAACAACAAAAGUUACAGCUCAGACUGAGAAACCCUGGGACAUUAUGCAUACGCCACUGAGCUGAGUUGAGGAAAUGUGGAGUAACUGCACGUCGGCCAAGAAAUAUCCUACGCCACCUAAGUCAGCUCCUGAAUUUCUCACAAUUCGCUGUCAAAACGAGACUAUGUACAAGGAAAACCAAAACUAUCCAUACAGCCUUCGUUUGGCCCUCUGUCUAUUUCAAGUAACUCCAGUAAGGCACAAUAUCAGUAUUGUUCCGAUCAACGAUUGAAACGAUAUCCUUUAAUCGAAGGUUAACUUAUGUGUACAAUUUUACGCCUUGGGGCGACGGAAUUGAUUUUCUCGCUGAAACAGAGUCGACUAUGAUUUCAGUAAAGAUGCACAAUUUUACUGUUUAUUGUCUGGUUUCCAAUAAAUCAGUGUGGCAAAGCGGUGAACAGAGUAAUGUAGUGCUGGUACACAGAUGACACGCAUCGUAAGAAUGGAGAUGAAUUGGUGACAGCAAAGCCACCAACUCAGAAUGGAAAGAGAUUGGGGAAGAACUGAAAAUCAUGACAAAGCGGAGGUACCGAAAGUGGACUUAUGAUAGGUCAUAAAAGUCAUAUAUGGCAGAAUCCUGAUCAAGUGGUGAAGGUUUAAGAUUCCAUUGAAUCACCAUGUCACGGUGGAUUCUUCAUCAAAACCCUUUACCCCUAAAUUGUGCAUGCUUAUCCUCGCAAAGGUUUAACACUUAAAGCAAGUUAAUAAAGAGGCAACCUCAAAAUAUUCUGAAUCAUUUC